AUCUAUCUAUUAGUCUUGACCAAAUUACGUGCCAGCAGUCGCGGUAAUACGUAGAAGACAAGUGUUAUUCAUCUUUAUUAGGUUUAAAGAGUACCAAGACGGUUAAUAAAGCCCAAAAGAAAUGAAUACGGGGGACAUAUUAACUAGAGUUAUAUGAAAGGAAGCUCUAAGGUACUGUUGAGUGGAGAGAUGAAAUUUGAUUAUACCAGAUGAGUGGCACAGAUUUAUGCGAAGGCAUCUUCUUAUGUAAUAACUGACGUUGUAGGACGAAGGCUUGGGAAGUAAACAGGAUUAGGUACCCCAGUAAUCUAGGCAGAAAAUGAUGAAUGUCAUAGGCUCAUUAAAUAUACCAUAUUUGCUCGUUAGGGCUGAUAAAAAGUAAAUAGGAUUAUAUUAGGGUCUAUAAAUGAAAGUGUAAGCAUUCCACCUCAAGAGUAAUUUGGCAACAUUGGAACUGAAAUCAUUAGACCGUUUCUGAAACCAGUAGUGAAGUAUGUUGUUUAAUUAGAUGAUACACAAAAACCUUACCACAACUUGAAUAUAUAUAAAAUAUAUUUACAAGCGCUGCACGGCUGUCUACAGUUAAUGUCGUGAGACUUUGGUUAGCUCCAUUAAAUUGACGUAAACCCAAAUUUUAUUUAUAAAUAUAAU
rnacentral:rRNA from 1 species